rnacentral:rRNA from 1 species
GAUGAACGCUGGCGGCGUGCUUAACACAUGCAAGUCGAACGAUGAAGCCCAGCUUGCUGGGUGGAUUAGUGGCGAACGGGUGAGUAACACGUGAGUAACCUGCCCUUGACUCUGGGAUAAGCCUGGGAAACUGGGUCUAAUACUGGAUAUGACUUCUCAUCGCAUGGUGGGGGGUGGAAAGAUUUAUUGGUCUUGGAUGGACUCGCGGCCUAUCAGCUUGUUGGUGAGGUAAUGGCUCACCAAGGCGACGACGGGUAGCCGGCCUGAGAGGGUGACCGGGCACACUGGGACUGAGACACGGCCCAGACUCCUACGGGAGGCAGCAGUGGGGAAUAUUGCACAAUGGGCGCAAGCCUGAUGCAGCGCCGCCGCGUGAGGGAUGACGGCCUUCGGGUUGUAAACCUCUUUCAGUAGGGAAGAAGCGAGAGUGACGGUACCUGCAGAAGAAGCGCCGGCUAACUACGUG